AGUGACUCGUCCCUGCUCAGGCGGUGAGUCAGAAGCAGAGCAAUUAAUGAGAAUCCAAGAGCUUUGACUAAGGAGCUACUCACCCCUGACCCCACCCUGCUAAAGGAAUAGAACGGACAAAAAUUGGUUGAAACAGCACACCAGUGCCAAGAUGCAACUUACUGAUGCCGAGUGUCCCCUCACACAGAAUAGAAGCAGAGAAGUCAACUUCUUGGCAACCUCAUGGGAUCGGGUUCACAAGCACUUAGGAAAUUAGGAGUAGAGAGGCCUUUGGCUAUAGACAUACACGCUGACCAGAAGUAAUGCUGACAGCCCACAGAAGGGGGAAUGGAAAAUUGUGGAUAGCAGACUCAAGAAUUCUAAAAGCAAAGCUCACAGACAGACCUCGAAAACAGCUCACUGUCACCAGAUGCCCUUUCCAAUGAGGAAGAGCCGAAAGAAACAUCGAAGUCACCUCUCCACAUGAUAUGUAAGAAAUGUCACACUCCUAUCUUCCCAAGGAAGAAAAGUCCAACCACCGCAACUCUGCAAGCAAGCCUUGUCAGUUGCAGCCUUCCUUUCUUCCCACGCACCAAAUACGCGUGCGCUCGCACGUGCGCAGGCGCACAGUCUGUAUUAGGGACACUGUCGUGUAGGGAACGGGUAAUAACUGUUAACAGCUACCUUUACUGCAGACUUCCUACCAGCCAGGCACUGGGUCAAGGGGCAACGCUAAUUAUCACUUGACCACACCCCUGUGAGGAAACUUAAGUAAAUUUCCUGAAAGACACAAUGCUUGUGCACCACUGGGAUAGGAUUUGAAACAAGGGUGCUUAUUAACCACUAGGCUAUGCUGUCUCCUAAUGAGGUUUAAACGUUUGUCCUUGUAAAUGACUCUCAUUAACCCAAGGGGCAGGGAAAGGUUGAAGAAAAACAGCCACUUUGACUGGAAAGACUCAGAAUGGGUGGUGGACCCUGCUCUACACAGAACGAAAUUGCGGGGCGCGCUGGUGCGGCUUAAUGAGCGGCUCGCAGCCUCUCU